AUUUAAACGCCGGUUCCCUUACGAUCACGGAAGUUAAGAAACAUCGAGACUGGUUAGUACCCAUAUGGGUAACGGCUUGGGAAUACCAGGUGCUGUAA